UGAUCCCAGGUCAGGCGGGAAUA
rnacentral:rRNA from 1 species